rnacentral:rRNA from 1 species
GGCCAGACUCCUACGGGAGGCAGCAGUGGGGGAUAUUGGACAAUGGGGGAAACCCUGAUCCAGCGAUGCCGCGUGAGGGAAGAAGGUUUUCGGAUUGUAAACCUCUGUGGACAGGGACGAUAAUGACGGUACCUGUCAAGAAAGCCACGGCUAACUACGUGCCAGCAGCCGCGGUAAUACGGAGGAUGCGAGCGUUAUCCGGAUUUAUUGGGUUUAAAGGGUGCGCAGGCGGAAGAUCAAGUCAGCGGUAAAAGUGAGAGGCUCAACCUCUUCGAGCCGUUGAAACUGGUUUUCUUGAGUGAGUGAGAAGUAUGCGGAAUGCGUGGUGUAGCGGUGAAAUGCAUAGAUAUCACGCAGAACUCCGAUUGCGAAGGCAGCAUACCGGCGCUCAACUGACGCUCAUGCACGAAAGUGUGGGUAUCGAACAGGAUUAGAUACCCCGGUAC